UUGUGGAGCUACUACAUCUACUCCAGUGGCAGCAUUACAAGUAGAAAUGAAUGAAAAUCCUUUGGACAUGAGGAGAGAUCAACUCUCAGCAGUUUAUUGGGCAAACUUAAAAGGAGCCAAGCGAGGACAUCCAACCCGUCAAGUGCUACUAAAUUGCCAAGAAAAAGGGAAGAAAGAAAUGAAUAGUUUUGGGUGGAUAAUAGGAGAUAUAUGUAAAAAAACACAAAUUGACAAUAUUAAAGUGAGCCCUACAGUACCAAUUCCUGCAAUACCACCGUGGAUGUAUGACAACCCAAAGGUAGAGAUGCAGUUACUGAAGAAUAUACAUUCAAAUAGUUACCAAAUUGAACAAUGGAUUGAGGAAAUUUUUUUUGAUAAUAUUAUGAUAUUCACAGAUGCAUCAAAAACUAUAAAUAGUAAAGUAGGAGCAGCUGCAGCUAUCCCACAGAGAAAUAUAGUGUUGAAUAAAAGAAUUAGUGAUAAACUACCUGUUUUUACGGGGGAAUUGGUAGCAAUUUAUAUGGCAGUUAACUGGAUAGAGGAAAAUAAAGCAAGGACAGCAGUCGUGUGCUCGGACUCCAGCAGUGCAUUGACGAGCAUAAGUGAAUUGAAUUGAAUUAUAUUUAUAUAGCGCUUUUCUCUAGUGACUCAAAGCGCUUUACAUAGUGCAACCCAAUAUCUAAGUUACAUUUAAACCAGUGUGGGUGGCACUGGGAGCAGGUGGGUAAAGUUUCUUGCCCAAGGACACAACGGCAGUGACUAGGAUGGUGGAAGCGGGAAUCAAACCUGCAACCCUCAAGUUGCUGGCACGGCCGCUCCACCAACCGAGCUAUACCGCCCCAUACCGCAUAAAAAACAUAACAUCAGAAACAAGACUAGAUAUAGUUUAUGAAAUAGUUCAGGCAAUCUACAGGAUAAAUAAAGCGGGAGGUGUGGUAACAUUUCUCUGGGUUCCUGCUCAUGUAGGAGUUGAGGGAAAUGAGUUAGCUGACAGAUACGCAAAACAAGCAACCACUAAAACAGAAGUAAAUAUGGAGAUUAAGCACAGUAAAGAAGAAGUGAAGAGCAUAAUUAAGAUAGAACACAAUAAAAAGUGGCAGGAUAAUUGGAAUAAGGAAAUAAAAGGUAGAUAGUUUUACAAAGUCCAGAGGAGAGUAGGUGUCAUGAGAGGAGGGGGUAGAAAUAGGAAAGAAGAAGACAUUAUUACUAGAAUGAGAUUAGGACAUACUUAUCUAAAUAGUUCACUAAAAUUGAUAGGCAAACAUACUACAGGGCUGUGUGAUUUUUGCCAUCAAAUAGAGAAUGUUGACCAUGUUUUAACACAAUGUAGGAAAUACAAUAGAGAAAGAGAAAUACUGGAAAAUAAGUUAGCAAAAGAAAAUAUUAGGUUAGAAGUGGAGGUAUAUUAGGAUUGCAUUCAGAAAACAUAGGAUACAAAGCAAUAUACACAUAUUUAAAAAACACUGGGUUAAAUAAAAGAAUAUAGAGUAGGGAUCCACCUCGGUCCACACUCCAUUACAGUAGGUGGCGGUAAUGCACACCAGAAGGUUGCUUGCCAACCGCCAUAAAAACAAAAGAAGAAGAAGAAGAAGACUUUUGCUGAUGAGGUAAUAGUUCUUCAUUGCUCUGUGUUUCUUGUGUAAAUAUUAUUUCUAAACUUUCAUAUUACUUUAAAAGUUAAAACAUUAAUGUUGUAGGUAUAUGUGAUGUGCUGUUUUAAGUAUUUUUUUAUGCACAAUUUUAUUAAGUAAGGAUUAGAGCGUCGAAUGUUUGGUCAUAAUUACACAUGGUAUUUACGCAGGUAUCACUCCGCCAGAAAAGUAGAGACCUGUGUGUGUGUUUCAUGUUUCCAACAAAGGACUUUUGCUGAUGAGGUAUCACUCCGCCAGAAAAGUAGAGACCUGUGUAUGUGUUUCAUGUUUCCAACAAAGGUGGUCAAUAAAUGAUGAAACGACGGAA